rnacentral:rRNA from 1 species
UACGACUACAUAUCAGGCAUAUCAAUAAGCGGAGGAAAAGAAACUAACUAGGAUUCCCUCAGUAACGGCGAGUGAAGCGGGAAGAGCUCAAAUUUGAAAUCUUCAAGGUUCUACCUUGACGAAUUGUAGUUUAAAGAAGUGUUUUCUGUUGGAGUUUUGGUAAAAGUUCUUUGGAGUAGGACAUCAUAGAGGGUGAGAAUCCCGUAUUUGACCAUUAUUUCCAGCUGUGUGAUACACUUUCAAAGAGUCGGAUUGUUUGGGAAUGCAGUCCAAAAUGGGUGGUAAAUUUCAUCUAAAGCUAAAUAUUGGCGAGAGACCGAUAGCGAACAAGUACCGUGAGGGAAAGAUGAAAAGAACUUUGAAAAGAGAGUUAAACAGUACGUGAAAUUGUCAAAAGGGAAGCGUUUGACACCAGUGUUGUUUUAUUGAAAAUCAAUUAAAUAGUUUUCGAUUUUAAGUAGUAUUGACCUUAUCAGCUUGCUGCUUUCUUCUCGGAAAUUAUUUAAUGCACUUUUCAGUUAACAAGUCAACAUCAAUUUCUUUUGUUGUAAAAAGGUAAGAGGAAGGUGGCUUGCGCUUCGGCUCAAGUGUUUAUAGCCUUUUACUUCUGCAAUCGGAGAGAUUGAGGUCUGCAGCGUAGAUCCUUCGGGGUUAGAUACAUUUGUGCUAAGCUAUAGCCUUGUAUAGACAACUUGUUGACUAUGCUCAGUCAUGUAGCUUACUCGCUUAUGCUAUUUUACCUACGCUUAGGAUGUUGACGCGCGUGUGUGCGUG